GGCAGUUAGCUCAGUUGGUUGGAGUGUGGUGCUGAUAAUGCCACGGUCAUGGGUUCAAGCCACCAAGGAUGGGUUCA